GGUCAAGCGAUUAAGCGCAUACGGUGGAUGCCUUGGCAGCCAGAGGCGAUGAAGGACGUGAUAGCCUGCGAUAAGCGUUGGCGAGGUGGCAAAUACCCUGCGACCCAACGAUUUCCGAAUGGGGAAACCCACUCACCAUCAGGUGAGUAUCUAUAGGCCAAUACAUAACCUAUAGAGGCAAACCCGGGGAACUGAAACAUCUAAGUACCCGGAGGAAAAGAAAUCAACCGAGAUUCCCCAAGUAGCGGCGAGCGAACGGGGACCAGCCCUUAAGCGUGACAACUGACAGGCGAACAAGCUGGGAAGCUUGACGAUACAGGGUGAUAGUCCCGUAGUCGAAGUCUGAGUCACGUGAAAUCGAGUAGGUCGGGGCACGAGAAACCCUGACUGAACAUGGGGGGACCAUCCUCCAAGGCUAAAUACUCCUGGCUGACCGAUAGUGAACCAGUACCGUGAGGGAAAGGCGAAAAGAACCCCGGCGAGGGGAGUGAAAUAGAUCCUGAAACCGUAUGCGUACAAGCAGUGGGAGCACCUUCGUGGUGUGACCGCGUACCUUUUGUAUAAUGGGUCAGCGACUUAUAUUCUGUGGCGAGCUUAACCGUAUAGGGGAGGCGUAGGGAAACCGAGUCUUAACUGGGCGACCAGUCGCAGGGUAUAGACCCGAAACCGGGCGAUCUAUCCAUGGCCAGGGUGAAGAUUGAGUAACAUCAAUUGGAGGCCCGAACCCAAGUAUGUUGAAAAAUGCUGGGAUGAGCUGUGGAUCGGAGUGAAAGGCUAAUCAAGCCCGGAGAUAGCUGGUUCUCCUCGAAAGCUAUUUAGGUAGCGCCUCACGUAUCACCGCUGGGGGUAGAGCACUGUUUCGGCUAGGGGGUCAUCCCGACUUACCAACCCGAGGCAAACUCCGAAUACCAGUGAGUGCAGCGUGGGAGACACACAGCGGGUGCUAACGUCCGUUGUGAAAAGGGAAACAACCCAGACCGUCAGCUAAGGUCCCAAAAUCCUGAUUAAGUGGGAAACGAUGUGGGAAGGCUCAGACAGCUAGGAGGUUGGCUUAGAAGCAGCCAUCCUUUAAAGAAAGCGUAAUAGCUCACUAGUCGAGUCGGCCUGCGCGGAAGAUAUAACGGGGCUAAAUCAGGUACCGAAGCUACGGGUUCAUCCUCUGGAUGAGCGGUAGAGGAGCGUCGUGUAAGCCAAUGAAGGUGGAUUGAGAAGUCUGCUGGAGGUAUCACGAGUGCGAAUGCUGACAUGAGUAACGAUAAGGGGAGUGAAAAACUCCCCCGCCGGAAGACCAAGGUUUUCUGUUCUACGUUAAUCGGAGCAGAGUGAGUCGGCCCCUAAGGCGAGGCGGAAACGCGUAGUCGAUGGGAAACGGGUUAAUAUUCCCGUACCGGAUGUGGUUGCGAUGGGGGGACGAAGAAGGCUAGGUGAGCCAGGCGUUGGUUGUCCUGGUGAAAGCAUGUAGGCCGAGGAAUCAGGCAAAUCCGGUUCCUCCNNNNNNNNNNNNNNNNNNNNNNNNNNNNNNNNNNNNNNNNNNNNNNNNNNNNNNNNNNNNNNNNNNNNNNNNNNNNNNNNNNNNNNNNNNNNNNNNNNCCACAUGCGACCGUACCCCAAACCGACACAGGUGGUCAGGUAGAGAAUACCAAGGCGCUUGAGAGAACUCGGGUGAAGGAACUAGGCAAAAUGGCACCGUAACUUCGGGAGAAGGUGCACCGGUUCGAGUGAAGGACUUGCUCCGUAAGCUCCUACCGGUCGAAGAUACCAGGUGGCUGCAACUGUUUAUUAAAAACACAGCACUCUGCAAACGCGCAAGCGGACGUAUAGGGUGUGACGCCUGCCCGGUGCCGGAAGGUUAAUUGAUGGGGUUAGGAUUCGUCCGAAGCUCUUGAUCGAAGCCCCGGUAAACGGCGGCCGUAACUAUAACGGUCCUAAGGUAGCGAAAUUCCUUGUCGGGUAAGUUCCGACCUGCACGAAUGGCGUAAUGAUGGCCACGCUGUCUCCACCCGAGACUCAGUGAAAUUGAAAUCGCAGUGAAGAUGCUGUGUACCCGCGGCUAGACGGAAAGACCCCGUGAACCUUUACUAUAGCUUUACACUGGAUGCUGAUGUUGUCUGUGUAGGAUAGCUGGGAGGCUUUGAAACCGCGUCGCCAGAUGCGGUGGAGCCAACCUUGAAAUACCAGCCUGACAUCAUUGGCGUUCUAACUCAGGUCCGUCAUCCGGAUCGAGGACAGUGUAUGGUGGGUAGUUUGACUGGGGCGGUCUCCUCCUAAAGAGUAACGGAGGAGCACGAAGGUACCCUCAGCACGGUUGGAAAUCGUGCAUUGAGUGCAAGAGCAUAAGGGUGCUUGACUGCGAGACAGACACGUCGAGCAGGUACGAAAGUAGGUUCUAGUGAUCCGGUGGUUCUGUAUGGAAGGGCCAUCGCUCAACGGAUAAAAGGUACUCCGGGGAUAACAGGCUGAUACCGCCCAAGAGUUCACAUCGACGGCGGUGUUUGGCACCUCGAUGUCGGCUCAUCACAUCCUGGGGCUGAAGUCGGUCCCAAGGGUAUGGCUGUUCGCCAUUUAAAGUGGUACGCGAGCUGGGUUUAGAACGUCGUGAGACAGUUCGGUCCCUAUCUGCCGUGGGCGUCGGAAGUUUGAGAAGAGCUGCUCCUAGUACGAGAGGACCGGAGUGGACGAACCUCUGGUGUUCGGGUUGUCAUGCCAAUGGCAUUGCCCGGUAGCUACGUUCGGACGGGAUAACCGCUGAAGGCAUCUAAGCGGGAAGCCCCCUUCAAGAUGAGACUUCCCUGAGGCCUUGCGCCUCCUGAAGGGCCCUUGAAGACUACAAGGUUGAUAGGCUGGGUGUGGAAGCACAGCAAUGUGUUGAGCUAACCAGUACUAAUUGCCCGUGAGGCUUGACCAU
rnacentral:rRNA from 1 species